CUGGGAAGCUGCCAUAUGAGGAUAGGCUGGGAGAACUGGGUUUGUUCCGCCUUGAGAAAAGGAGGCUUAGAGGGGAUCUCAUCCCCAUGUACCAGUACUUAACGGGUAGCUACAGAGAAGAUGGAGAUUCCCUUUUUACAAGGAGUCACAUGGAGAGGACAAGGGGGAAUGGACACAAGUUGCUCUUGGGGAGAUUCCAAUUUGACAUGAGGGGGAAGUUUUUCACAGUGAGGAGAGUCAACCAUUGGAAUACUCUCCCCAGGGAAGUGGUUGACUCGGCCACGUUGGACAACUUCAAGAGUCACCUGGGCAGGGUGCUGGGCCAUCUUGUGUAGACUGCGCUCUUCCUAGAAAGGUUGGACUAGAUGAUCCCUGAGGUUCCUUCCAAUGUGUGAUUCUGUGAAAUGUUCACAGUGCUUUACUGUAGAAUGAAAACCACUCCUCCCUUGUUUGAAUACUUUCUGAACUUCUGUGUUGUGUUUGACUGUUUUGUGUUAGUGUGCUGUAGCUGGAAAGGAAGAUGUUUUAAAACGUUUUCGCUCUUCUCCCUAGAACUGAAUGUCCUGUGCUGGAGGGCACUAACGAAUCAUGAUUUGCUGUUCACAACAAGCCGUUCAGUCUUCUGGAAAUAACCACAUUUUGAGAACCAGGUUGGGGGUUCAUUUGGGAGCACACAUGUGAACCCUGUCCGUCCCUCCCUGGCCAGGUGGCUGCAGGCUGGGGGCCCGUCACCGCGGCAGCGCGCCUGCACCCCUGCGUCCCGCCUCUGCACCGCGGCUGCUGCCUGCCGCCUCUUUCCAUCCCAGGCUGCUUCAUCAGCAACAUCAUCACCUGGUUACAGCAACGUGGCCCGCAUUACUUGAAGGCUGCAUGACUGACCUUUCACAUACAAAGCACAGACAUUCAACAAAUUGUUCAGCAGCUCCAAGAGGCAAACCAGAUACUUUUCAGCUGAGUGAUUAAGGUAAAAUGGUAAUUCCUAACAAAACUAUCAUACCACAGAUGUUCGGUUUAUGCCAGUUCAGCCAUUAAGAAGAUGUACAUAAAAGUUAUUUCUGAGAAUUUCAUUCCCUCGACUGUUCACUUAUGUUACUGUGAAGAGUUUACAGGAAGGACAAGAACCUUGUCAUUUAUAAUGUGCAUAACUAUGUUCCAGCACACUGCAAAAUACAGCUUCACAUUUGAAAUGGUAUAGCUUCCCUUCAGAGAAGAUUGGCUUUCUGGAAGACAGUGAUCUGUGAAUUUCUUCAGGUAUUUUGGAGUAAAUUCUGUCCCCCCUCACAAAUAUAUCCUUGUCCCUGGUAACUCUUGCCAUCCUUCAUCUGAAGAAAAAUUAAAUGCCAUGACCAAACUGUCUUUUCCUCAGUUUCCAUAAAUCUGUACAAUAACUUUACUUCUACGAGUGUAACUGCAUCAUGCUCUUUGACACAGUAAAUUCAAGCACUGCUUGAAUCCAAAUGGAAGGUGAAGACGCUAUUAUAGGUCAUAUCCAUUAGCGGCACUACUGCAGUAGUCGAGAGUGUUAGCACAUUUGAUUUGUUAAACAUGUUUGAACACAAAGAGUCAGGAAGCCGCACACUGAAAUCUUCAAAUAAAGUACAUCCAAUUCAAUUGCACGGCGAUACUAGGUCACUGAAUUACAUACUCUGUCAUAGUACGUCCUAGUCAGUGCUAGAGCUGUAUUAUUUGUCUAUUCCAAGUACAUUUUCUUCUCUCGGUGAGAAUAUCUUAAUAAAACUAUUUAUGCCAUACAAAAUAACAAGUGUAAUGAUCAAACUCCUACUGCAGUCUACCAGUUUCUCAAAAAUAAUGUUAUUAAAUAGUAUGAAUUAAGGACAAAAUUACUUAGUUUGUCAGUACCAAUUACAGCUCUCACAGCAAUGGAUGGAGGUGCAUUAUGGAAACAUGUCUGACUCACAAUGCACAAGGUAGUACUGAACAAUAAUACAUAUUCUCUUGUAAAUGUUAACUCUUUGCGUUUUGCUUAUGCCUUGAAAAUACCCAUGGAGUCCUUUGCUUUCAAUAAUUUUAAUAUCCCAAAGUAAAAAUCAAACCAUGCUCAGAGUAUUAAAAUUUAUGCAUUCUAAAUGAUAACAUGAAUGUAUUCUAGUUGUUUCUGAGAUACCAAUUUUCAGCUUGAUGCCAAUUAAAGUUUUUAGAUACAUGUUCUGAAAAGGUGGUGGCUUAGGAUGUAAUACUAAAGGCGUAGGGGGAUGCAGUUGCUGUGUGCACGCUGAUUCUUAGUUUGCAUGCAGCAUCACCGUAACUGUUCAGAACGGUAAAGGGACAGUACGCCUCUCUUCUCAUACCCUCAUCUCUCAGUGUUUAGUGAUGUUUUGAACUGGAAUAAUAAAAUCCUGUUCUCUAGAGUUACUUAUGGUUACCUC